UGUUAUUCAUACAAUUUUGACAGUCGUUACAGGUAGUCAGAAGUUGAAAAGUCUGUCUACCAGUCGAACCAAGGGGUAUCGUGUUGCCGAGGUAACUGGUUUAAGGAGGUCAGAUAGGCAGUCGCUCCUUGUUAAACACUGGUCUACUUAGCUGAAUGUGGAUAGACAGGAAACCGACCCCAACAAAUUUGGGAAAAAGCUAGGCCGAUGACUUGAUUUUAAGACGCAACACUGUAAUUAUUGUAGAAAUUAUUAACUAAUGGUUUUUUUUAGUUAAAAUUUAAUUUAAAAUGUUUAAAUAGAAAAGAACACUAGACAUAAGCCAUGUAGGUAUUGAUUAUUAACUAACUUACUAAAACCACGAACGUCACGUAUUACCAAUCUUUAAAAUCUAUUUAUUUACACCAAUUAACUUCACUGUUGAUUAAUACUGAUAGAAAAUUUAAGAUUGAUACAUGAUUACUAAAUGACACUAAACACCACUGACACAACCUGUCACAAUGACGUAAGCGAGCGAACUGCCCAGGCUCAGCCAGGGCUUGGAGUCCUGACCUCUAUCUAUUGCGCAACUCCAUACAAUUUAGGUCACUUGCAGGUUACCUAGGAUGACCUGAUUUUUCACUGCAAUGCGGAUAUCAUAAGUAUUUGAGGUACCUAACGCGCAUGCGCGUCACUCGCCUUUGUGACGUAACAACCUAAAUUACGUAAUAAAGGAUAACAAGAAAAUAUUAGGGGGAAGUCCCGUAACGCCGGACGGCACCUAGCGCCGGACACUCGUACUAUUUAAGCGAGUGUCGACCCGUUCGAUUCAAAAUACAAGUGAAAGGGGUGCGGGGGUCACACAGGUACAGGGUCACGCGCCGCGCCUCGCCAGUGACAUACACGGCCAUGGCAGGAGCCGCUGAUUGCAGUUUUAGGCGCGAAAUCACGUCGUCAGCUAAAUAUCAAUAGUAUAGAAGAAAGAAGAUAAUAAAAAUGGAAGAGAAGAAAAAGAAAGGAUCUUGGGAGCCACAGAGCUUACAAACUGCUAUUAAUAAAAUUAUGGCAAAAGAACUCAGUGUAACCUAAAAAGGACUAAAUAAAAUCUAAUUUUGAAGUAGCAAUGGAAGGUAAAGGAAAGAAUACCAAUGGAAAGAGCGUAGACAAGAGAAAAGAAGCGACAAACGUGAAACCUAAAGAAAAAAAAGAAGUGAAGUAGAAACAUUGACUGAAACAUCUAAGACAAACAUAACAAUUUGCUUAGUUUGCUUAGAAGCCUCUGAGGAAGCCUGGAUCCAGUGCUCAUCCUAUCGUGGGUGGUUACAUGAAGCAUGUGCAGAUAUUCCAGAGUCUGGAGAUGGCUACAUAUGUGAACGAUGCAGGUUAUUUUGAAAUAUCCGGUGCUAGGGGUAUGGCACAAAUAUUGUCCGGUACUAGGUGCCACUUUUUAAAAUCAUAUUUUUUGUUACCAAAGUUUGAAUGAUGGUAUUAAUUAUUUUUAAGCAGAGGUUGCAUUUUUGUUAAUUUAAUUUGAUUCCUAACUUUGUUAUCUAAUAUAAGUCAUAAACGAAUAAGCAUUUUUUUAAA